GCUUCCCGCCGUUGAAGUUACUUGGUUAACGUUACGUUAGUUACUUGGUACUUUUACAAUAGGAUUUAACACGAUAGAUUUAGAAUAACGUUACUUAUCAACUUUGAAAAUAUAAUUAUAUCAUAACUCCGCUAUAAAUAUCACUAACAAAUAUGUUUGCUUAUGUAAGAUAUAUAGAAGACGGGUGUAAAGAAAUCGUCCCUAUUUCUUACAUUAAGGACUUUGACAGCAACUGUGAUAAUAGCAAUAAGAUCUACUGGGUGCGCUGGCAGGAGGACUAUUUUAAAGGCCAAAUAUUGUUCCUGAAGGAGUCGAGAGAAGAAGUGGAAGAGCAGCUGUCCAAGGGGAAACGCGUCCGUGUGAGACGGCUGAAGGAGACCACAGCCCCACCGGCACGCUCCGAGAAAGAGGAAGCCAAAAACAUAAAUGUAACGUUGAUGGCUUCAAAUAAUACAGCUAUUGCCAUCUUGUGGCACUUGGAUGUAACUAACAGUUACAAAAUACAACUUUGACAUGAACUUUAAUCUGUACUGCAAUGUGUUUUUGCGUUUCUGACCUUCACAUGGUAAUAAUAUCAUGCUCCAUAUAUCCAUUAACCAUAUAUUGUUUUCACAUUGCUUUGUUUGUUUGGUUUGUUUGUAUGGGACUCUUGUAUUACAGUGUGAUGCCUUUUUAUAUUUAUGCUUUUAUCCAUGUUUCCAGAAAAAUCAGAAAAAAGCAGCAGAAGAGGCAAAAAAAAACAACCUCAUGGCCUUAAUUAAGGAAAGAAAAAUGAAAAAAAAACUGUCUCCGCUCUGCCCACCUCCAAGCAAGAAAAUGAGAGAGCAUAUCUUAUCAGAUACGUUCUCCGAAGCAGACGACAACGAUGAUGAUGAUGAUUGUGGGGUUGUUCCUCAAAAGCUUUUUGAGGAUGCAAAACAAAAACAACGCCUCUACCUCAAGAAAUUUAAUGAUGUUUCCCUUCAACUGCAGGAAACCAAAAACAAUAUGGGAGUUUUGAACAGCAUUAAGAUGUGUUAUUGUUUUUUUAUUAAUGUAAUGGCUUGAAAUUUGAUCUUUAGCCCAGUGUUUUGUUUAACCUACUUGAAAACUUUAAACAUUCACUAGCCGUUGGCUGGUAGACAAAAAGUUAAUUUUGCAGAUAACUUCAACUUAUAUAUUUCACAAAAAAUAUAAUUUUUAUUGUUUCUUCUAAUCACAGGUAGUUAUGACAUAUUUCCCUCUGUAACAGUCUGUCGGACCAGGAGAAGAUCACAGCAGCAGUCGAGGCUGAGAAUAGCACACUACGAGCGCUAAACAUACAACUGCAGCAACAUUUGCUGAAAUCACUGAACUCUGUGCAAUGCAAUGUUGCAGAGUCUGGCUGUGCAGAUGAGGUGGGACCCUCUGCUUCUCCCAAAGGAGACGAGAAUCACUUGGGAGGAGAAGUAAGCAUUCGAAAAGAGAUAAGGUUAUUUGUGAAAGAGUUGGCAGUGGCGAUGUGGGGCACUAAAACCCUGGGGGAAAGGAGCCUCAUGGGGAAAGAAUGCCCCACCACCAAUACCACCAGUUAGCCUUUAACCCCACAGAAACUACACACAUUAAAAGUCUGUUACAAGGAGUGGCUGCGUCGGAAGAAUCUGGAGGAGACGGAGACGCAGGCCAGAUGGGGAAAGGCUGGACGUUUCAUAACUGAAAAAAUUAUGGACAUUAACAAACAAACAAAAAAAAAAGCCACUUCAGUAAGAAUAAGAGCACUCAAAGUGCCAUGCAAUGUAAGGGUACUUAAGUUUUGUUCAUUUUGACGAUGUUGUCAUUUGCUUGUUUUUUAUGUUAAAC